rnacentral:rRNA from 1 species
AACGAACGCUGGCGGCAUGCCUAACACAUGCAAGUCGAACGAUCCCUUCGGGGUUAGUGGCGCACGGGUGCGUAACGCGUGGGAACCUGCCCUUAGGUUCGGAAUAACUCAGAGAAAUUUGAGCUAAUACCGGAUAAUGUCUUCAGACCAAAGAUUUAUCGCCUUUGGAUGGGCCCGCGUUGGAUUAGCUAGUUGGUGGGGUAAAGGCCUACCAAGGCGACGAUCCAUAGCUGGUCUGAGAGGAUGAUCAGCCACACUGGGACUGAGACACGGCCCAGACUCCUACGGGAGGCAGCAGUGGGGAAUAUUGGACAAUGGGCGAAAGCCUGAUCCAGCAAUGCCGCGUGAGUGAUGAAGGCCUUAGGGUUGUAAAUCUCUUUUACCCGGGAUGAUAAUGACAGUACCGGGAGAAUAAGCCCCGGCUAACUCCGUG